UCUCUCUCUCUCUCUCUCUCUCUCUCUCUCGAAUCCAUGGGAGAGAUAAUAUCUUAAAAUGCUGAUGAAUAUUCUUGAUAGAAGAAGAGAAAAUUUGAACCUGAAAUUUGAUGAAAUCGUUUCCUGGUGUUCCAUGAGAUUAACAAUCAAGGUUCAGAUGAGACAAGAUGAACAUUACAUGUUCAUUUUCACUGAAAACAUGGGGAACAAAAAAAGAUGAACUCUCUUGGGAUCCCCUGAAAGCUUCAUGAUAACCAACAUAUUCAGUGAAUUUUUUUUUCUCCAUCACAUGUUCAACGAUUUUCUUCUAUUGAUCAGAGUUGUUAUUGAUUCUGGUGUAAUAGUAAUAACAAUUAACUUUGAUUGUCAACCAUCAACAAGUAAGUAAAACAAUUUCCAAUGAAACCGUUGAAAUCACAAUUUAAUUAUCCAAGUUGAAUGAAUGAAAAAAAAAACUUCAAUCAACAAUAUAAACAAUCAAAAGGUUAACCUGAAUACGAUUGAUUUUUUUUCUGUUCACAAGUUCUUAAUCAUUAUCAGGGGAUUAUCAUCUGAGGCGUUGUCCACUUUCAUCAUUAGUAUCAUGUCUAUGGUCAGUGAGCUCAAUCAGGACUGAAAUUAGGUUAAUAGGGUUAAUCAAAUGGUUAAUUGUUACAAUUGUGUUACGAUUUUCAUUUCUAUCUCUCAUCCAUUGACAGAAUAAUAAUAAUAAUAUUUACUCAAAAUGUUAAUGUAAAUACUAUUGAAUAACAUAAUCAUCUUAUUUAUUUUGUCACUCAAUGAAUUAUUUAAGAAUCAAUAAUAAUCUCAAUUGAGUGUAAACGAUUUGCUGUUGUUUUCCAUGAUUAACUCAAUAUAAGAUUGUGAAUGCUGAAUGGAAAAUAGGAAAUUUUUAUCAACUGAGAAAACAAUUUAUCUAUUUAAUGUGAACUGGAUCAGAAUUUUUUUCUUCUUCUUUAAGUGUUUAAUGUGACUCUUGGGAUAAACUUAUAAUCGUCCUGAAGGUAACGAGUAAAAGUACUGAUCAAAGGAUAAGGUGAAAUAAUUCAGUUCCAAGUUUAUUUUAUCCCUGAAACUGAUCAACUAACAUUAGGUAAACAAUUGAAAUCCAUUGAAAGUUAAAUUGAAAGAUAAUUCAGUUCCAAGUGAUUAAAAAAGUUUUUCUAAUUUUCUCAGGGACCUUAACAUUAUUUUCCUUACAGUGCCAAAUAUUAUUCAAGAUAUUUUGAGUAUUGGCACUUGGAAUCAUUGGUAAUUAACAUGGUAUUUCCUUAAUUACAGAACUGAGUUAUUAUUAUGUAUUGAAUUCAUUAUUAUUGACAACAAUUUGAAUUGAUAAAAGUUCAAGUUCAAAUUUGAUUUAAAACUUAACUAAUUAGAUUUCAACUGAACUUUUUCAUGACACAGGAAAAUUAUUGAAAAUUUGUGUGUCUUUCAGCUCGUUGAUUAACUUUAAUUAUUUGGUAACAUAUUAGCUUGAUUAUUCAUUAAGAUUAUCAUGUUGAUCAGUUGAUACUGAUACUCUGUGAGUAGAUAAAUGGAUUAAUUAAGAAAUUAAUUGACUUUAGAUAAGCUGAAUUGAGAAAGAGUGAGAGAGAGAGAUGAAAUUAAUGAGCAAGGUGAAAAGUUAUUCGAGUGUUAUUAUCUUUAAUCAAGUUUACUCACAAAUAAUCAAGGAAGUUGAUUGAAACAGAAGAUGAAUCGAAGGCAACUUCCGGUUUAAGCUCAAUAAAAGACAUGGUAUAUUCAUGGAGGCAAACGGAUUUCCUUUCAACUAUUCACAUUCAAUCAGAAAAGUUCAGAAAGUUUCAGAUGAAUAUAAUAUUAGAAAUCAUUGGAUAACAGUAUUGAUCACAACAUCUAAAUUGAUAAUGAUGAUUACGUUGAAUCUCAUCAAUGAAACAAGAACGAGAAUUAAUCAAGAAAAAAAAACGAUCCGGAAGCAACAAUCAAUUUCCAAUUGUGUUGCUAUCACAAUUUACCUUUCAAUUUAAAAUGAUUAUCUGAUUGUUAUCAACAUUGUAAACUAUUUGUAACUAUUGAUAUUGACCAAUUGUUGUUAUAAUUAAAUUGAUGAAACCAUUGUGAUUGAAAUUUGAUUGAAAGUUCAACUAAUUGCUGGAUUAAUUUACCUUCAUGUUAUAUAUAUUAUGUGACCAUCAUGAAGUUAAUUCUGAACAUUAAUAAUGAAUUGAUUGAUGAUUGAUCAACAAUUAAUUGACUACGAAUUGUUGAUUCAUAUUUAGCUUCAUUAUCAGCAAUCAAUUAUCAGUCAAUUAAUCAAAUGAAAAAUAAAUUAUUCAAUUGAAUUGUUAUUAAAUCAUUUUGAUAACUAGGGACAUCUUUUGGUUACCAAUGAAAGUAAUUGGAUCACAAUUAAGAAAACAAAUUAAAUUAAUUACCUUUGGCAAUUGUAUUCUAAUCAUCGAUAGUUAAACUUAUCUAGUUAAUUUAGUUGAUAUUUAUGUAUGAAAAUUGAUUAAUCAUUUUAAUUACUCUUUGUUAACUGUUGUGAACUUGAUUUUUGGUAUAUAAAGUUAAUUGUUUAAUUCAGUGUUAAUGAUUAGUACAAGUUGGUGACAAUUUAGUCAACCAUUUGAUCAUUAGAUUAGUUUAAUAGUUAAUAAAAUAACGGUACAAUUAGGUCAAGUGUAAAUCAAGUUAAAUAUUAAAUUAAAUGAUUGUCUGAUGUUGAUCAAGUUUAUUUGUUUUGGAAACAAUUUAUUUUAUUAUUAAAUUUGAUUAUUUAAAUUAUUAAACAAUUUGCUUCGAUUACAUUAUCUUAAUUGUUAAGGGUGAAAUUUAACCGGAAGAUUAAUGAGCUAAUGAAUAUAAUUUCCUAUAACAAUACAAUUAAUUAAAUUGAUUCAAUUAACUUAAUGAUUCUGUGAUUGUUUUUGGAUAUCACAUCGUAUAUGUAGAC